rnacentral:rRNA from 1 species
CCCUUAGAUGUUCUGGGCCGCACGCGCGCUACACUGACGGAUUCAACGAGCUUACAACCUUGGCCGAAAGGUCUGGGUAAUCUCCAAAAUCCGUCGUGAUGGGGAUAGAUUAUUGCAAUUAUUAAUCUUCAACGAGGAAUGCCUAGUAAGCGCAAGUCAUCAGCUUGCGUUGAUUACGUCCCUGCCCUUUGUACACACCGCCCGUCGCUCCUACCGAUUGAACGUUCCGAUGAAUACCAUGGAUUGAGAGUCUGAAUGGGUUCGCCUAUUUCUGCUUCUCGAGAAGUGGAGUAAAUCUUAGCGUUUAGAGGAAGGAGAAGUCGUAACA